UUUCAUUUAUUUUAUAUGCAUAAUUUUUGUCAGUUAUUUAAUGGUCAUACUGCUUACAUACUUUUGAAAACAAUUUUUAAAAUUUAACAUUUCUAUGUAAGCAUUUUCUCAUGUUAUUAUGAAUUCUUAAUAAAUAUCAUUUUAAUGGCUGCUUAAUGUUCCAGCAAGUGGAUAUUCCAGAAUUUACUUAAUGAUCUCUUUAUUACCAGACAUUAACUGGUUUCUAAUUUUUUAGUAUUACAGAUAAUGUCAUGAUCAAUAUUUGGGGGCAUUUUCCACAUUUCAGAUUAUUUCCUUAGGCUAGAUUUACAGAAGUAGAAUUGCAGAGUCAAAAGGUAUGAAAACAUUCAACACUCUCAAGAAAUAUUGUCAUACUGCUUUAUAAAAGGGUUGGUGCAGUUUGCACUGCCGCUAGCAGCUAAUCGAGCAAAACUGCAAUGGGACUAAAAACAGUUUAUGGAGUUAGACCAGGGUUUCUCAACCUCAGCACAAUUGACCUUUUGUGCAGGAUAAUUCUUUGUUAUGGGAGGCUGUCGUACGUAUUGUAGUAAUGUUUAGCAGUAUCCCCGCUAUCUGUCCACUAGAAUUCAGUAGCAACCCUCAGUUAUGACAACAAAAAAUGUCUCCAGACAUUGCCACAUGCAUCCUUGGGGGCAAAAUCAUCCCUGGUUAAGACCUCAUGUGUUAGACAAACUUUAACUUUGACUUUCAUUUGAGCUCUACCACAUACUAGCAAGCCAAUGUGGGCAGGUUACUUGAUCUCUCUGGCUCAUCAUUUAUUCAUCGUAAACUGGGGAUGAUUACACUCAGCUCAGGAGUUGCUUGUGAAGAUAAGAUAGUGUAUGUAAGGUGUUUCAUACAAUGCUUGGAGCCUGGUAACAGCUAGUAACUAUUUGCAAUUAAGAUCAUGGUGGCAAUGCUGGAAGUGCCCUGUGAAAGGACCUGGCUUUUGUGUGAAUGAAGGAGAGGUGGGUUUAGUGAAUCACUGAUAUUCAUUCAUUUAUUUAUGCACUCAUUCAGUUAGUAUUUAUUGGGCCAUUACUACAUGCCAGGAAUUGUUCCAGGCACAAAGGAUACAGCAGUGUAUAAAAUACUGUCCUCAUGGAGCUUAUAUUCGAGUGGAGAGACAGGCAAUAAAUGAGAUUGGAAAAGUUAAUUAUAUGAUAUGUUAGGAAAGAGGAUAGAAAUUGUUUGGCAGGUGGGAGAGGUUGAAAUUUUAGAUAGGAUAGAUCUGGAAGUCUCUAUCGAAGAGGGACAAUUAAGACUUGACUUUGCCAUGUAGGCACUGAAGGGCAGUCCAGAUGGAGGGAAGAGCAAGUGCAAAGGCCCUGAAACAGAAAUGUGCCCAGAAUGUUCAAGGACUCACAGAUCUAACUUGGCUGAAGGCAAGGCUUCGGGGUCAAUAAGGAGAGCUGAUUGCAGGACUAUGCAUCACCAUCUGAUUACCUGGGUGUGCUUCAUGCUCUCGUGUGUGUGUGACAUUGUCAUGGAUGCAAUGUUCUCCUCAGAACAUGGAAUUCAACCUGCUGUCCUCUCUCAGUAACAAUAAUGAAGCUUUUAAAGCAUCCCUGAAAGAGUUAUCGUGGAAGGAUUUGCUAAAGGACCAAAGACAACUGCCAACCUCUUCAAAGGCAAUUUUCCUGCAUCAGUGUCACACAGCUGCUCUGGGAAGCAAUGCAGAAGGUUCCCUCCCUGAGUUCUCCGACCACAGUGGACGACUCCAGUGGCUUCAAGAAACAUCCAUGACAGUACUGGGGAUCAUUCGUUGGUUUCACAGUGUAGGGCCUGGUUUGUGAUUCUCUCUAAUGGCAGACCAGGCCUCUGGACCAGAAAUGGGGCCAUGGAAAGUGGCAUGAAAGGAUCUCAGCAACAGGAAUAAACAGAUUUGGUUCUAGCAGUGCUUGUUUCAUUAGAUAUUUCAACCUGCUUAAGUGGAGAAAUAGUAGACUUGAACCAAUUGAAAAAACCCAGAACGAUACACACCAAUUUGCUGAGUCCUGAAAAGAAUGCAAUUCCAAAUCUAUUCAUCUACCGAAACCAUGACCCAAACCAAUAUCACCACCAAACCUACCCACCCCACCAAACACACACUCUGAGAAGGGAGAGAGGAUGCGGAAUAAGGACCAAAGGAUUAAAGAAGAAUGUCAAAUAAUUCUGCAUAGUAAACCUGAACUAAAGUAAAAUUAUAUCAAUCCUCCUUUUCCCAUCAAAGACUGAGCAUUCUGGUUAAUGAAAUAAUUUAAGGUACAGUAAUUUGCUUUCACGGAAACACAAUUUUCCAACUUAUGAGUAACUUAUAUGUACAGUGGGAAUCAAAGUAUCCUUUUAGUCUUUAAUA
rnacentral:lncRNA from 1 species